rnacentral:rRNA from 1 species
AUUUUGGACAAUGGGCGCAAGCCUGAUCCAGCCAUGCCGCGUGAGUGAAGAAGGCCUUCGGGUUGUAAAGCUCCUUCGGACGGGAAGAAAUCGCGCCGGCUAAUACCCUGCUCGGAUGACUGUAUCGUCACAAGAAGCACCGCCAAACUACUGUCCAGCCGCCGCGGUAAUACGUAGGGUGCGAGCGUUAAUCGGAAUUACUGGGCGUAAAGCGUGCGCAGGCGGUUGAUUAAGACAGGCGUGAAAUCCCCGGGCUUAACCUGGGAACUGCGCUUGUGACUGGUCAGCUAGAGUACGGCAGAGGGGGGUGGAAUUCCACGUGUAGCAGUGAAAUGCGUAGAGAUGUGGAGGAACACCGAUGGCGAAGGCAGCCCCCUGGGCCGAUACUGACGCUCAUGCACGAAAGCGUGGGUAGCAAACAGG